AAUGGGGGGUGACGCACGGCAGAGAGGUGACACCAAAGCAUGCUGCUGCUGAGAUCAAGUGUUUGCUCCCUUACUCAGAGAGUUCUUGUUUUGAAGGAUUAUAACCGCGCUUACCAGUAUGAGCGGAUCAACGCUUCCAAUGGUUUUGGAAGGAUCUUGGCUGUUGCUGAGAAAGCGUUUGACUCAUCAAGGACUUCACCUAAUUGACUGACUACAAGGGGGCUGUUCCCUACUAUGAAAUCACCGAGAUGGUAUCGCCACAGUUAGGGAUCCAAAUCCUGCCCCCAUCGACACCAAAGCUUUUGGAAGAACGGCUCUGGUUUUACACUGAUUGGAAUGACAGCAGGGCUGUCCAUCUGUUUACCUGGUUUUCAGCGGUGACUCCUAUAUGGCCCAUAAACGUGCACAUUACACUAAUGAGACCACUCAUGACACUCUUUAUCUGUGUUGAGUAGUUGAGUGUGUAGUUGAAAGGCUACAGACAGAGUGAGAGGCUGUGUUUGCUGUGGUGUUAAUUGAAAACAAACAUCAGUUUCUCAGGAAAUUGUGAUGAAGUCUAGGAAUAAGCAAUGGAUGCAGCAGUGAGUACGGAUGAUGAAAACAGCUCGUUGGUGCCACCUCCAUGCUGCUGCGCCAUGAAGCAGAAGAGCAUUGGUGAAGUUGUACGGGCUCUCGGUCUGAGCCCAGCCAGGGAGGUGGUUAUCAGUUCGCAGGGGGAGGAACAUCUCCAGCAAAAAAAGCAGGGGAGUGCUUCACUUCAGACCUGGCAUGGAGGAGGGAGGAGGAGAUUUAAAUCCUUCCUGGCGAAGGAGGCCUGUGAGCCUGGGAAAAGCUCUCAGCAUAAGGUUAUCAUCUAAGGGAGGGAGAAGAGGCAGACAAAAGUUGAGGAAGGAAGG